rnacentral:rRNA from 1 species
UGGGGAAUAUUGGACAAUGGGGGAAACCCUGAUCCAGCAAUGCCGCGUGAGUGAAGAAGGCCUUAGGGUUGUAAAACUCUUUCACCGGGGAAGAUGAUGACGGUACCCGGAGAAGAAGCCCCGGCUAACUCCGUGCCAGCAGCCGCGGUAAUACGGAGGGGGCUAGCGUUGUUCGGAAUUACUGGGCGUAAAGCGCACGUAGGCGGUUUUCCAAGUCAGAUGUGAAAUCCCCGGGCUUAACCUGGGAACUGCAUUUGAUACUGGAUGACUAGAGGCCGGGAGAGGGUAGUGGAAUUCCCAGUGUAGAGGUGAAAUUCGUAGAUAUUGGGAAGAACACCGGUGGCGAAGGCGGCUACCUGGACCGGUACUGACGCUGAGGUGCGAAAGCGUGGGGAGCAAACAGG